rnacentral:rRNA from 1 species
AACAGGAUUAGAUACCCUGGUAGUCCACGCCGUAAACGAUGUCGACUUGGAGGUUGUGCCCUUGAGGCGUGGCUUCCGGAGCUAACGCGUUAAGUCGACCGCCUGGGGAGUACGGCCGCAAGGUUAAAACUCAAAUGAAUUGACGGGGGCCCGCACAAGCGGUGGAGCAUGUGGUUUAAUUCGAUGCAACGCGAAGAACCUUACCUACUCUUGACAUCCAGAGAACUUAGCAGAGAUGCUUUGGUGCCUUCGGGAACUCUGAGACAGGUGCUGCAUGGCUGUCGUCAGCUCGUGUUGUGAAAUGUUGGGUUAAGUCCCGCAACGAGCGCAACCCUUAUCCUUUGUUGCCAGCGGUUAGGCCGGGAACUCGAAGGAGACUGCCAGUGAUAAACUGGAGGAAGGUGGGGAUGACGUCAAGUCAUCAUGGCCCUUACGAGUAGGGCUACACACGUGCUACAAUGGCGCAUACAAAGAGAAGCGACCUCGCGAGAGCAAGCGGACCCCAUAAAGUGCGUCGUAGUCCGGAUUGGAGUCUGCAACUCGACUCCAUGAAGUCGGAAUCGCUAGUAAUCGUGGAUCAGAAUGCCACGGUGAAUACGUUCCCGGGCCUUGUACACACCGCCCGUCACACCAUGGGAGUGGGUUGCAAAAGAAGUAGGUAGCUUAACCUUCGGGAGGGCGCUUACCACUUUGUGAUUCAUGACUGGGGUGAAGUCGUAACAAGGUAACC